rnacentral:rRNA from 1 species
UACGUAGGGUGCAAGCGUUUAAUCGGAAUUACUGGGCGUAAAGCGUGCGCAGGCGGUUUUGUAAGUCUGUCGUGAAAUCCCCGGGCUCAACCUGGGAAUUGCGAUGGAGACUGCAAGGCUAGAAUCUGGCAGAGGGGGGUAGAAUUCCACGUGUAGCAGUGAAAUGCGUAGAGAUGUGGAGGAACACCGAUGGCGAAGGCAGCCCCCUGGGUCAAGAUUGACGCUCAUGCACGAAAGGCGUGG